rnacentral:rRNA from 1 species
UACGUAGGGUGCGAGCGUUGUCCGGAAUUAUUGGGCGUAAAGAGCUUGUAGGCGGUUUGUCGCGUCUGCUGUGAAAAUCCGGGGCUCAACCCCGGACUUGCAGUGGGUACGGGCAGGCUAGAGUGCGGUAGGGGAGAAUGGAACUCCUGGUGUAGCGGUGGAAUGCGCAGAUAUCAGGAAGAACACCGAUGGCGAAGGCAGUUCUCUGGGCCGUAACUGACGCUGAGGAGCGAAAGCGUGGGGAGCGAACAGG